AGAACGAACGCUGGCGGCAGGCUUAACACAUGCAAGUCGAGCGCCCCGCAAGGGGGAGCGGCAGACGGGUGAGUAACGCGUGGGAACCUACCCAAUUCUACGGAACAACUGAGGGAAACUUCAGCUAAUACCGUAUACGCCCUAACGGGGGAAAGAUUUAUCGGAGUUGGAUGGGCCCGCGUUGGAUUAGCUAGUUGGUGGGGUAAUGGCCUACAAGGCGACGAUCCAUAGCUGGUCUGGAGAGGAUGAUCAGCCACACUAGGGACUGAGACCACCGGACCAGACUCCGUACGGGAGGCACGCGAGGUGGGGAAUAGUUAGGACAAGUGGG
rnacentral:rRNA from 1 species